rnacentral:rRNA from 1 species
UGGGGAAUAUUGCACAAUGGGGGAAACCCUGAUGCAGCCAUGCCGCGUGUGUGAAGAAGGCCUUCGGGUUGUAAAGCACUUUCAGCGAGGAGGAAAGGGUGAUGCCUAAUACGUAUCAACUGUGACGUUACUCGCAGAAGAAGCACCGGCUAACUCCGUGCCAGCAGCCGCGGUAAUACGGAGGGUGCAAGCGUUAAUCGGAAUUACUGGGCGUAAAGCGCACGCAGGCGGUUGGUUAAGUUAGAUGUGAAAGCCCCGGGCGCAACCUGGGAAUUGCAUUUAAAACUGUCCAGCUAGAGUCUUGUAGAGGGGGGUAGAAUUCCAGGUGUAGCGGUGAAAUGCGUAGAGAUCUGGAGGAAUACCGGUGGCGAAGGCGGCCCCCUGGACAAAGACUGACGCUCAGGUGCGAAAGCGUGGGGAGCAAACA